rnacentral:rRNA from 1 species
UGCGCAGGCGGACUUUUAAGUCAGUGGUGAAAUCCCGAGGCUCAACCUCGGAACUGCCAUUGAUACUGGAAGUCUUGAAUUUGGUUGAAGUGGGCGGAAUGUAGCAUGUAGCGGUGAAAUGCUUAGAUAUGCUACAGAACACCGAUCGCGAAGGCAGCUCACUAAGCCAAUAUUGACGCUGAGGCACGAAAGCGUGGGGAGCGAACAGGAUUAGAUACCCUGGUAGUCC